AGUGAAAUGAAUACUCAAAAAUCAUUAAGUGUCUACUAGGUAAAUUCCAAGACUUGGUGUCACAAGUGUAUGAGCUACUAGUAGAAUACACAAAACACUAAACUACUGUAUUAAAUAAAGUAGACAAAAAACAAAUACAAAAGAAAGACUUCAGGGUGCUGCAGAACGGGCUCGGAAGGCAUCUCACUACUAAGUCUCGAUGUAUCAGGAGUGCGUGCCGGGAUGAUGUCCAGAUGCACCUGCCUCAGAUCCUGCACGGUUAGUACAGAAGUUUAGCAUGAGUACAUAAACAACAUGUACCCAGUAAGUAUCUAGUCUAACCUCGAAGAAGUAGUGACGAGGGGUCAACUUCGACACUUACUAUGGGCUAACAAUAAAAUACCGAAAUUCUAAAUAAGCAUGAGUUAUGUAAACAACCAUAAAUCUCCAUAACAAGCGAUAAAUAAAUAUUUCUUUCACUAAUAAUAAAUCCCAAGUCAAUUUCCAUCAUUUAAAUAUUUGUAACCUCUCGAGCCAAUAAAAUCAUAUCAAUAAGAUUAGGCUCCAAGUAUUAUUACGCACGAUUUAUGCCGAGGUCGUAAGGCCCGAUCCAAAAUAUAUGUAUAUACUGUGUGCACUGCCGAGGGCCGAACGACACAAACCAUAGAUGCAUCUAUUAACCUACCGAGGGGAGCGGCCCGCUCCCAUGAGAGUAGAGGAAAUUUACCUCGCUCGCGGAAGUACUUGCGACACGAGUGAACAUAGAUUUCUGAAAGUUAUUAUAAAAUUCUUCCAUUCUUUCCCACACCUAAAAAAUUUAAACGGGAAACUUUAAAUCUUAAAAUCCCUAAAUCUCAGCUCUAAUUAAGACAAUUAAUAUGCAUGACAAACAUAAUAGAGAAAACAAAGCAUGGUGUAAGCCUAAGACUACCCAGACAUCGCAUAGAAUAUAACUACGUACGGACUCUCGUAACUAGUACGUACGUAGCUCCCCACACAUAUAAUUCACAACAAAAUUACACCUAAGGGGAUGAGUUCCCUCUUACAAGGUUAGGCAAGAAACUUACCUCGUCUCAAAGCUCGCUUUCUGAUCCCAAAUUCGCUCUAAAGCCUUAAGUCGGUGCCGAAAAUCCGAAACUAGUCAAAUGUUGUAAAAAUAAAUCAAUAUAUGUUUCAAAGUUCACAAUUUAACUAUUAGAGUAAUUACCCAACCCGAAUUGGAAGAUUCUUAAAAUUCACCCUCGGGUCCACGUGCCCGGAUUCCAGAAACUUUCGAACAAAGUUGUUACCCAUAACCUCACGAACUCAAAUAUAUAAUUUUCACUCAAUCCCAUAACUAUUUUCGUGGUUAAAUCCCAUUUUUAUCAACACCUAGGGUUAUUUAUCUAAACCCAUACUUUUCAAUAAUUUACAUAUUAAAACUAACCUAUAAUCUAUGUAUAUAACUUACAUUGGAUAGAAAUCACUUACCUCAAAGUGGUAGAUGAAAGCCCCUAUCCAAAAGCUCCAGAACCAACCAAUGAAUGAAAGAAAAUGAGUCAAAAUGAUUUAACUCUCGACUUAAAUAAACCUCACUGCCUCUAGGACUUUCGCACAUGCGGUCACUAGGCCGCAUCUGCAGUACCGCUUCUGUGAAAUUCCCCAGGCCCAGCACUGGCCGCUUCUGCAGACCGGAUUUCUCUUCUGCGGAUGGCCAGGCACAUCUGCAGCCCCAUCGCACCAGUGGGCUAUUCCUCGCAUAAGCGAGGCCGCUUCUACGCAUGGUUCUGCACUUCUGCUACUACCACCGGCCAAAUACCCCAAAGCCGCUUCUGCGGCCAUAAGCUCGCAGGUGCGGGCACACCAGAUCUGGUGCACCAACAUCCCUUUAGAGUCCUAAUUCGAUCUGUGCAUCGUCCGGAUUGCACCCGAGGCCCCAGAGGCCUCGUCCAAAUGUACCAACAAGUUUGUAAACAUAAAACAGACUUGCUCGCACCCUCGAAACACAUAUAACAACAUUAGAACUAAGAAUCAAACGCCAAAACCAAUAGAAUCAACUUAUGAACUUCAAGUUCUUCCAACUUACUUCGAACGCGCCGAAUCAUAUUUAAACUAUUUGGAAUGACUCCAAAUUUUGCGUGCAAGCCUUAAUUCACCAUACAGAACUAUUCCCAAGCUCGGAAUCCAAAUUAGACCUCGAUAACACCAAAUCUUACCUCAAACCAAAUAUAAGAAACUUUAAAACCUUCAAUGUGCCGACUUCCAAUAUUAAGCGCCGAAACGCUCCCGGGUCAUCUAAAACCCGAUCCGAACAUACGCCCAAGUCUAAAAUCAUCAUACAAACCUAUUGGAACCGUCAAAUCCCAGUUCCGAUGUUGUUUACUCAAAACAUUGACUCAAGUCAAACUUAGCCCUUUUUAGCCAACCUUAAGAACUAAGUGUUCCAAUUUCAACCCGAACCCUUCCAAAUCCCAAACUAACCAUCCCCACAAGUCAUGAAAUAGUAAAAGCACAUACAGGGAGUCUUAUUUAGGGAAACAGGAAUAAAGAAUGCGAUUAUUAGUAACAUAUAAAUUAAUUAAUAAACUAAUUUUUUUUUGAAAUGAUUUUAUUUGAAAAAUAUUUUUUUGGAAGAUUGUUUUGAAAAUAGUUUGAUUUUUUUUUUUUGGAAAUUAAUUUUGAAAUUGUUUUGGAAAAUAGUUUUAGGAAAUAGGUUUAAAAAUAAUAUAGGAGGCUUAGAUAUAUAUUUUCCAAUAUCCGUCUAGACAUGAGAACGGGAACCACCUCAGUAGCAGCUCCGGUGGCCAACCGUAUCGCCUCCCAUAGUUUAUUGGUUCGUGUUCUCAUCUUUUUCCUUUUUCGAUGUUUAUCAUCAUCGCCUCAUUAUUUCGAGCCCAGUCCAGAGGGUCAUACGGGGCGGCAUGGCCUCAAAAUAUUAUUCUCAUCAGCCUCAAUAUUGUAUUUGUCCAAAUUCCGUAUGUCCAAUAAUGCUUUGUUCAAUAUCAGCUAAACAUGACAGAAAUUGACUCAAAUGGGAAUAAAAAUUAUUGUUGGGAGCUUCACAUCAGUGCCGCAACAACAAGGUUCUUAUCACAAUAACAAAAGUUUCACAAUAGACCAAGGAACCCACAAAAUAAGCUAAAACUAAUUCUGUCUCAGACCAAGACCAUAAAGGAGGAAACAAGAGAGUCCAACAAAUUGUCACACUAAUAAGGACUCAUCAAAGUUUUAGAACGAGUGUAUCCAUAAUAGGCAACGCAACAGACGAAAUAUCAACCCAUAACAUUAACCAAUCUCUUGUGACCAAAACGAGCAGCAUGGGAAUUUUACAAUAGCAGUAAGCAAGCAACAAUAGCACUCUCAAUAGGACGAAAGCUUCGUUAAGAAGAGGCACGGUCGAACCGGCUCUUCUGGCCAAAUAAGCAGCAAAACCAAAUAUCAUGAUGGAUGAGAGAUUAGCACAAAACAGCAGUAAGGUUUAUCGGAUUUUAUGGAAAGAAAGGCGCCCGGAUUCAACAUUCUUUGCCUGAACCUUUAGAUCUAAUCUCGUAUAGUAGAAAAGUGAGACAAUCAGAAGAAAAAAGACCAAACAGGUUCACUGGAUUUUUACUUUUACCAUCCAGAUCUACUUUUCUAGCAACAUUCGUACCUGCAAAACAAUAGAGUAAAGUUAGAGAUGAGAAAAGCGGGGUGAGAGGGAGAGAGGAGCAGCCAUUGGAGUGGCAAAAAUAGUUGUGGAGGCGGAGCAAACGGGCUCGUCAAAAAAUAUCGUUCUGGCCAAGGAUUGAAAUAUCAUGUCGGCCAAAUCUGUGACUGAAAACAAAACAAAGCAAAAAGGAGACAGUAGCAGUGGCAUCUCCUCAAGGUCGUCGGCCAGCUGGUGGUCAAAUACAGCGAUGGAGGGUACAGAAGUCAACAACGAGAGAAAAGAGAAGUGGGGAAGUGCAACAAUAGUGAAACGUUAGCCAUAGCUGGCCGGCAGUGAAGCCUGACCAGAGAUGGAGGCUGAGGGAGGCGGCAGGUUCUCUCAAAGCUGAGAGAGAUGAUGAGAGCUUGAGAGAGUUUGUAGGGAAGGGGCGACUGAUAAUUGAGAAGUGAGGUGUAUUGUUAGGGUUUGGGGUUUUAAAGAUCUGAUGAUGGGGUGUGGUGUUGUGUAUUAUAUACCACUCCCUCUGUUUCAAUUUAUGUGAACCCAUUUGACUGAGCAC
rnacentral:lncRNA from 1 species